AUGCAGGAGGGAGCAGCAAUCUUGUUGUUGGUUAGUCCAAAGGGGCGGGUCAGAAGCCCACUUCGUUUGCUGGGCAGAAGCCAGCUGCGCCUGCAGCAAAGGAGCCUGCCCCUGCCCCCAAGCCCACCAGAUCUACAACCUCCACUGCUGGUUCCGCUCAGAUUCUCCCCCUGGAAGAAAGUGGAAGACCUCAUUGAAUUACUUGGGUUCUCCCUGCCACAAGAUGUGAAUGUGACAUUAACUGAAUGGAGGGGUGGAUGUGAACCUUUUGGAGAGCUGAUUGAAGCCGAUGUGGACUGGAAUGGAAUGUUCAGAACCUUCUUUGAGAAUGUCAGAAUCAAAAUAGCCUACAGAGAUCCAACCAAGAUUCCUUUUGAGAGACUGAUUGAGAUGAAAAAAAAGUUGUUCCUACUUGGUUUUACUGUGGAGGGUUUUGAACAAGCAGAUGGUAUUGAUUCUGUCAUUGAUUUAGGUGAGGAUGAAUAUGAUAAUGAGGAGGAUGAGGGUGCUGAGGAAGAACAGACUGAAAAAGAGAAUGGAGCUCAGGGAGAGCAUGCUUUUGAAGGAUCAGGUGAGGGUGAUCAGGCCAUUGAUGAACUAGACAAAGCUAAUUUUUCAACUAAACAUGGGUCUUCAGACAAGUAUGGUACUCAAAAGUUGGUGGUUACACCUAUGGAAUAUGAAAAUGAUGCUAAUCAGGAGGAUUUCAUUAUGAAGUGUGCUUUGGCUGCUGUUGACCUUGAUGGUGCAUCUUCUGAUGGGCAUGAACCUAAGUCUGGCUGUGCUGGUGACCCUAUAGAACAGAACCACAUUACUGAUGGGGACGAAAAGGAGGAUGAAAGAGUGAUGACCCCAAAAAAACCCUCUCCAUUUGAGGAAAAUGUUGCUUACAUAACUCCUGAGAAGAAUGCUGGUAGUAUGGAAUACUGUGAGGAUCUAUUAAGAUCAGUGGAUGUUUCUGACUCUGAAAAUGAGGAACCAAAGGAAGAAGAGCUAGGGGUUCCCCCUCUUGAGGCUGUCCAAAUCCUACAAAGGCCGAAGAUGGUGAAGUAUACGAUGUGUUUUGGACCUGUUGGGGGCAACGACCAGGCAAUGGAAAAUCCUAUAUUCAGAGGCUCAGGCUACUCUCCGGUUGCCAUCGAGCGCUGUUAA
rnacentral:rRNA from 1 species